UACGUAGGCAGCAAGCGUUGUUCGGAGUUACUGGGCGUAAAGGGUGUGUAGGCGGUUCUUUAAGUUUGGGGUGAAAUCUCCCGGCUCAACUGGGAGGGUGCGCCGAAUACUGAGGGACUAGAGUACGGGAGAGGAAAGUGGAAUUCCUGGUGUAGCGGUGAAAUGCGUAGAUAUCAGGAGGAACACCGGUGGUGUAGACGGCUUUCUGGACCGACACUGAUGCUGAGACACGAAAGCGUGGGUAGCAAACAGG
rnacentral:rRNA from 1 species